AUCUAGCCCCGAUGGGAGCGGUAUCCUUUUAUGGUGGUCCCGAAGCCUCGGGACGCCAUAAAAGAUGUAGCGGACAGCGGGACAACUG
rnacentral:sRNA from 1 species